ACAUUGUAAAGCUAGGUGAGAUUAUCAGAUGAAUAGUUCAUAUACCAAAGGGAACCACCUUGAGAACCUGUUUUGGAAAUUGCAUUUCUAUAGUUUACCUAUUUUAAUAUCAUUUUCUUAUUUUAUUGGGACUACAAAUGCUAAGAACACAAAACAGUUUCUAAAUCAGUAGCAAAAAGAAUCACGAGAAAGCAAUCAUUCUUUUCAAUUUUUUUUUUUUCCUCUCCUAGUCAUGGUUUACUGGAGGAAGUCAUCAGCAGUGUAUAUAUAUAUUAGACAAAACUAGUUUCUGUCAGACAUCCACUGAGGCUCUUAGCUUAUACUCUAUGUCCUUUGCAUCACUUCUAUGUUUCAGAAUAUUUCCUACACAAAUUCGAUAUUACAUUGCUAUGGAAAUCCUUCCUUUUCAAGAUCCAUUUCAAUUUUAUCUGAGGCUGGAUCAAAGGAAAAGGUGUGGAUCUAUUUGGAAUCUUUGGCCAUUUCAAUGCUGACAAGUGAUGAAAUUAGAGAAUACUAUUCUUUGACACGCUUAUUUUCCCAUGAUACAACUAAUCAUAUUGUAGAAACCUGAUAAUUAUUAUUGACACUAGAUUGUUUAGCACUCAUGAAAUAAUCUUGAGAUGUAUUGUGUCAACUGCAAAUUGUUUACUAAAUGGAAAAAAAAUGUAUAGAGGCUAAAUCCAAUCUAAUGUAUUUUUAAAGCCUAUCACCUAAGCUAUCUCUGAACUUUCCUUACUUGAGAAUCCUUUAGUGAUUCUUUCAACUUCAUUUAUUCUCACAUUUGCUUAUUUUUGGCAUGGGCCAGGUAAAAUUUCCACCCACUCACACCCAUGAUUUCCUUUAAAACCAUUUCAAGACAUUUCCAAUGUAUCUCAUAGUGAACCCUGAAUUCAUUCUGAGCUCCAUUAUUUUGUAUUUCCAUAGGAAUUUAUAUCAGAGUCAGCAAGGAGGUUAUCCCAGGCUUACUGUAAUUAUCUCUGUUUAAUUAAUCAUGCCUGAACUUAUUUUUUUUUAGUUCUGGGAUACAUGUGCAGAAUGUGCAGUUUUGUUUCAUAGGUAUACACGUGCCAUGGUGGUUUGUUGCACCCAUCAACCCAUCAUCUACAUUACGUAUUUAUGAAAUUCUAACUACAUAGUAAACUCAUGAAAGUCAAGAAUUUUCUUGACUUUCAAUUAUGCCUAAUACAAAAUUGCAUAAACACCAAGACGGAAAAUUUUGCUAAGUGAACAUUUAUUACCUUGUUAAAUUUUCUUUUCUUAAGAGAAUAUAGCAAUAACACAAGAUGUAUGAAACAAAGUUUUAAAAACUGGGAUGAAACCUGAUUUCCGUAACAGAAAUGAUAAAGUCAAAGGGUGUUGGAGUCUUGGAUCUUACAUGGCUCAACAGGCAUAGGAGGACUUUAUCUUUAAUGUAUUCUAUUGAAAUGACUCAACUAAUAUAAAUAGCAAACACUGAUAGAAAUGAUGAGGAGGAGAAAAAGAGGGAAAUUUUUUCUAAAGGGGUGCCACACAUGUCAAUUCUUGGUUCCCAGGCAUCCUUGUAUGUAUGAACUAGAUAAAUGUACCUGUUGGGUUGAGGAUGUUUCUCCAACAUUAGGGGAUGAAUUGCUUCUACUCACGUCUUAAACUCAUAUCUGGAAAAACAUUGCUGAUCUUGCUACCCUGGCUGCCCUCUGGGAGCUCUACUCAAAAGUGAAAUUAUUUCUCUAUCAUGCAACCAGGAAAGACUCACUUCUAUUUCUCUUGUCAAACACGGAACUAGGAGCUUUCUUGCACAUUUCAGGAAGGGACUCUCCUCUGAAACUCGUUUACUUUCAGCUCACAGUGAAAGGAAAACUUCUUCCUACUGCCUGUUAAAUGACAACUUCCUAGUCCCUGAAUUCAAUCUGAAGAUUAACAUUCACUCAAGGAGCAGGUUUGUUUAAUAUGAGUGGGACAGUAUGAAUAGACAAAGAGAAUUUACUAUGUGUUUAAGGAACCCAGUGGUUUGAAAACUAAGCGAUGAAACUGACAAAUUCCAAUAGGUGAUUUACUAUGAAGAAGAUGUAAUAGGAGAGAAUUUUAGAAUCAAAGAAAAAUGAAUUUAAAUUUUAAAUUCUUAAGAGAACUAAAGAAGCUAUUAAUAAGAAAGGAAAUGGGAAGUAUAUAUGUAUGUAUAUGUGUAUAGAUAUAUAUUUGUCUAUAUUUUACACACACAUAUAGUAUGCAUAUUUAUGUAUGCACAUACUAUGUAUGCAUAUGUAUGAAUAUGGUACAAGUAUAUCUGUGUAUAUGAAUGUAUAUAUACAUGCAUGCAAGACUGAAUUGUGUCUUCACAACUUUCAUAUGAAUUUGAAUUUGGGAGUUGAAGCUCUAAUUCCCAAUGUGACUCUGUUUAGAGAUAUGGUUUUUAGGAGGUAAUUAAGGUAAAAUGAGCUCAUAUGAGUGGGGUCUUACUUUGAUGGCUGUCAGCAAGUCAAAGAGAGAACCUUCAUGGGAAACUGAACCCUGCUGGAAACUGACCAUGCUGGCACCCUGAUCUUGAACUUCCAGCCUCUAAAACUGCACAAAAAUUAGUUUUUGUUAUUUAAGCCACCCAGACUAUGAUAUUUUGUUAUGCAAGACCAAACUAAGAUGAACACAGAACACUUUUAAAAAUAAUGGAAAAUAAUAAUAAAUGAAAGCUUAAGAAACAAGAAAAAUAUACCGCUCUACCUACUGUUUGAAUAAUAAUAGUUCCCAAAAGAGAGAUAGGACUAAAGAGAGAACAAAAUCAUAUUAAUUAGAUGACUAGUCUUUGAAAGUUAGUUUAAUGGCACAGGAUGAUUUUUGAAGGAAACAAAUGCGAACUUUCAUUAGGGAAGCCCUUGUGCAUUAAGAAGAUGUAAACAGCACACAACUGUGUUAUUUUUGUGUCAGGGGUUCUUAACGUAGACCCUAACUAUAUUUUUGAUAUUUUUUUUUAGCACAGAUAAUGAGGACUUGUGGAAUUCUCCAAAGUGAUUCUGUGAGGUAGGAACAAUAGCAGUGUUACACAUAGUAUUCCUGAUGACUUCUAAAACUACUAUGUGACAUGAUCUGAUUAGUUGGUAUACUUUCGUCCAUUUCAAUUUUUGAAGAGUUUAUACAGACAUUAAACUGAGAAAAAUAAUAUGUUUGUAUAUCAAAGAUACAUACAAAUUUAGGGUCAGGUUAUAAAAUUAUUACACGGUGCUCCAUCCCUGAGCAUAUGCUCUUGACUUAUUUUGAAUCACAGAGACUGAAAUAAGACGCGGAUUGUCCUAAUUUACUAUUAAUUCUGUGCUCAAAAAUUUCCAGUGAUUCUCCAUUGUUUUCAGAGAAAAAGACAAAAUCCUCUUAUGCCUAUUUGGCCCUUCAAAAGCCAGUGUCCCCUCAAUGUCUUUUUCACUUUCUACUUUUCUUCAUUCUAUCCCAGCAACACGACUCCCUUGCUGUUACUAGACCAUAGCAGCCACACUCAAAUAUUUGGACUUGCUGUUCUUUCAGCCUGAGUUGUUUUCUCCUGAGUCAUACAUAUGACUUUGCACAAAGUCACUUUCUUAAAAAGAUCUUCACUAUCUAUCUUGUUUCAAUUUAAACCAAGCCACCUCUGUGUACUCCUUCUCCUCUGACCAACUUUAUUUAUCUCCAUAGCAUUUUCCAGCUUCCACUAUACAAUGGCAUUUACUUACUGUGGCUAACAGACUUUCAAGGUGGUCCUAGGAUCCCUGCCUCCUGAUGUUCACUUAUUCUUCAUGUUUAUUGCUUAUAUAUUUCUGCUAGAUUAUAAGUUUCACAAAGGAAUUUUUAAGUCUUCUUUAUUUACUUAUAUAUAUUGGGUACUUAGAAUAGUACCCAAUAUUUACUAUUAGUAUAUUCUAAUAGUACUAUUCUAAGUACCCAAUAUAUAGUAGACACAAUAAAUAUUUGUCGCAUGAGUGAACACAUAAAUACAUCAUUUUCGUCUGUCCCGUCAGCGGAUUUAUCUAUUUAUUUUCUUUGGCUUACUGCCUAUGCUGUGAUUACAAACACUUGAGGCCAAAGUUAAUUCCAAGACUCAUGUUCUUGGUUAAGGAAAUUAAUGGCUAAGAAACAUUAAUGCUGUAUCAAUAGAAGGUUCCAUAGUUUGGCAUGUGUUAUAUACAGUUGUCCCUCAGUAUCUAUGAGGGAUUGGUACCAGAACUUCUCACCGAUACUAAAAUCCAUGGAUGUUCAAGUCCCUUAUACAAAACAACAUAGUAUUUGCAUACAGCCCACACAAAUAUUCUCAAAUACUUUUAAUCAUCUCUAGAUUACUUACAAUACUUAACACAAUGUAAGUGCUAUGUAAAUAGAUGCUAGUUGUUAUACUGUAUUGCUUAGGAAACAAUGACAAGAAAAUAGUUUGUACAUGUUCAAUAGAGCUGCAAUUUAUUUUUGAAUAAUUUUGAUCCACAGUUAGUUGAAUCCAUGAUGUAAAAAAUCACAGAUGCAUACAGAGGGCUGACUGUAUUUUGUUUGGGGUUAUUACUAAUUUAUGAAUUUCCAUUUUCCACAGUACCUAGUAUGAACAUUACAUAAUAAAGUUGUGUGGGUUUCAAAUAAAAGCAUGUAAGAUUUUACAAGGGAGCUUCAAGAAAAAAAAAAAAGAAAAGAAAAACUAGGUUUAAUCACGCUUGCCCAAGUGCCUUCCAGAAUUACAAAGGAAAGGAACGAUUGAGUAACCAUAGAAAAAAUACAAUCAGUAAACAUAGAAAGCCGUGCUUGUACUAUAGCCGCAUUCUGCACCUGGGGACAGUUUCUGAAGGUGGGAAUCUGGGUGCAGCUUAACUGAGUGUCUGCACUUGACUUUUCUCCAAAGGCUGGGAUGAAGGUGUUGGCUGGUGUUUGUGUCAUUAGAAUCAACCCAAGGGUCAGCUGUAAAAUGAUCUGCUUCCUAGCUCACUCACAUCGGUGUUGGCAGGAUUCAAUUCUUUGUGGGCUGUUCAUCUGAGGACCUCAGAUCCUCUCUAGCUGUUGCUGGGAGGUCUUCCUCAGUUUCUUGCCAUGUGGACCUCACCAUAGGGCAGUUUAUAACAGAACACAUGGAUUACUUCAAAGCAAACCAGCAAAGAACUACAUAAAGCCAGCAAGACGGAAGUUAUGCUCUUUUGGUAAUGUAACCUAGGAAGUGGCAUUCAAUCACUUUUGUCAAAUUCUAUUCAUUAGAAUUGAGUCACUGUCUCUUUCUUUGCCUAAUGCAGCCAUGGCUCGUGGUCCCAAGAAGCAUCUGAAGCGGGUAGCAGCUCCAAAGCAUUGGAUGCUGGAUAAAUUGACCAGUGUGUUUGCUCCUCGUCCAUCCACCGGUCCCCACAAAUUGAGAGUGUCUCCCCCUCAUCAUUUUCCUAAGGAACAGACUUAAGUAUGCCCUGACAGGAGAUGAAGUAAAGGAGAUUUGCAUGCAGCAGUUCAUUAAGAUCGAUGGCAAGGUCCAAACUGAUAUAACCUACCCUGCUGGAUUCAUGGAUGUCACAAGCGUUGACAAGAUGGGAGAGAAUUUCCGUCUGCUCUAGGACACCAAGUGUUGCUUUGCUGUACAUCGUAUUACACCUGAGGAGGCCAAGUACAAGUUAUGCAAAGUGAGAAAGAUCUUUGUGCGCACAAAAGGAAUCCCUCAUCUGGUGACUCAUGAUGCCCGCACCAUCCGCUACCCUGAUCCCCUCAUCAAGGUGAAUGAUAUUCAGAUUGAUUUGGAGACUGGCAAGAUUACUGAUUUCAUCAAGUUCGACACUGGUAACCUGUGUAUGGUGACUGGAGGUGCCAACCUGGGAAGAAUUGGUGUGAUCACCAACAGAGAGAGGCACCUUGGAUCUUUUGACGUGGUUCACGUGAAAGAUGCCAAUGGCAACAGCUUUGCCACUCAACUUUCCAACAUUUUUGUUAUUGGCAAGGGCAGCAAACCAUGGAUUUCUCUUCCCCGAAGAAAGGGUAUCUGCCUCACCAUUGCUGAAGAGAGAGAAAAAAGACUGGCGGCCAAACAGAGCAGUGGGUGAAAUGGGUCCCUGGGUGACAUGUCAGACCUUUGUACGUAAUUAAAAAUAUUGUGGCAGGAUUAAAAAAAAAAAAAAAAGAAU